GACGAACGCUGGCGGCGUGCUUAACACAUGCAAGUCGAACGGUGAAAGCGGAGCUUGCUCCGCUGGAUCAGUGGCGAACGGGUGAGUAACACGUGGGCAACCUGCCCCUCACUUCGGGAUAACUCCGGGAAACCGGGGCUAAUACCGGAUACGACCUCCUUGGGCCUCCUGGGAGGUGGAAAGCUUUUCGGUGAGGGAUGGGCCCGCGGCCUAUCAGCUUGUUGGUGAGGUAGUGGCUCACCAAGGCGACGACGGGUAGCCGGCCUGAGAGGGCGACCGGCCACACUGGGACUGAGACACGGCCCAGACUCCUACGGGAGGCAGCAGUGGGGAAUAUUGCGCAAUGGGCGAAAGCCUGACGCAGCAACGCCGCGUGCGGGAUGAAGGCCUUCGGGUUGUAAACCGCUUUCAGCAGGGAAGAAGCCGCAAGGUGACGGUACCUGCAGAAGAAGCACCGGCUAACUACGUGCCAGCAGCCGCAGUAA
rnacentral:rRNA from 1 species